rfam:Haemonchus contortus, ISE/inbred ISE, WGS project CAVP01000000 data, contig: Hcontortus_20190
GUAUCGGUGGUUUAGUGGUAGAAUGCUCGCCUGCCACGCGGGCAUCCCGGGUUCGUUUCCCGGCCCACGCC